rfam:Nicotiana attenuata strain TT chromosome 2, whole genome shotgun sequence.
UAGACAGGUUAUUGUAUUCGACUGUAUUCGCGGCGUGAAACAUGGGAUUACACUGUUUUUAAAACGGAAAGUGAAUCAAUUAACAUAAUAGACUCCU